rnacentral:rRNA from 1 species
AGCGAACGCUAGCGGCAGGCUUAACACAUGCAAGUCGAGCGCCCGGUUUCGGCCUGGAGCGGCGAACGGGUGAGUAACACGUAGGUCACGUACCCUAUGGUGGGGAAUACCCCGGGGAAACUCGGAUCAAUGCCCCAUAUGUCCGAAAGGAUGAAAGCUCUUCGGAGCGGUAGAGGAUUGGCAUGCCGCCCAUUAUUUAAUCCUAGUGGGUGAGGGAACGGCUCACCAAAGGUACGAUGGGUAGCUGGUCUGAGAGGAAGAGCAGCCACACUGGAACUGAGACACGGUCCAGACUCCUACGGGAGGCAGCAGAGGGGAAUAUUGGACAAUGGGCGAAAGCCUGAUCCAGCCAUGCCGCGUGAGUGAUGAAGGCCUUCGGGUUGUAAAGCUCUGUCGUGGGGGAAGAAGUUCUGACGGUACCCCAAAAGAAAGCCCCGGCUAACUCCGUGCCAGCCGCCGCCGUAAAAC